UAGUCCACGCCGUAAACGAUGUGCACUAGGUCGGGGAAGUUUUGACACUGUUCUCGGCCGAAGCAAAAGUAUUAAGUGCACCGCCUGGGGAGUACGGUCGCAAGGCUAAAACUCAAAGGAAUUGACGGGGCUCACACAAGCGAUGGAGCAUGUGGCUUAAUUCGAUGCAACGCGAAGAACCUUAUCCUGGAUUUGACAUGUACGGAUUAGCUUUUCGAAAGAUAAGUAACGCCCUCGGGUGGAACGUACACAGGUGCUGCAUGGCUGUCGUCAGCUCGUGCUGUGAAGUGUUGGGUUAAGUCCCUUAACGAGCGCAACCCUUAUCGCUAGUUGCCAGCGGGUAAAGCCGGGGACUCUAGCGAGACUGCCGGUGUCAAACCGGGAGGAAGGUGGGGAUGGACGUCAAGUCCGCAUGGCCUUUAUGUCCAGGGGCCGCACACGUGCUACAAUGGUAGGUACAGAACGAUGCAAUAUCGCGAGAUGGGAGCAAAUC
rnacentral:rRNA from 1 species